GACGAACGCUGGCGGCGUGCUUAACACAUGCAAGUCGAACGGAAAGGCCCUGCUUUUGUGGGGUGCUCGAGUGGCGAACGGGUGAGUAACACGUGAGUAACCUGCCCUUGACUUUGGGAUAACUUCAGGAAACUGGGGCUCAUACCGGAUAGGAGCUCCUGCUGCAUGGUGGGGGUUGGAAAGUUUCGGCGGUUGGGGAUGGACUCGCGGCUUAUCAGCUUGUUGGUGGGGUAGUGGCUUACCAAGGCUUUGACGGGUAGCCGGCCUGAGAGGGUGACCGGCCACAUUGGGACUGAGAUACGGCCCAGACUCCUACGGGAGGCAGCAGGGGGGAAUAUUGCACAAUGGGCGGAAGCCUGAUGCAGCAACGCCGCGUGCGGGAUGACGGCCUUCGGGUGGUAAACCGCUUUCGCCUGUGACGAAGCGGGAGUGACGGUAAUGGGUAAAGAAGCACCGGCUAACUACGUG
rnacentral:rRNA from 1 species